GGAGGUGCUCGGAGGAAAGGGCGGGGGCUGCUGAUGUAAUAGGGAGAAGUGAUUAAUCCUUCGGUUCGCUGUUUCUGCCUUCUCCCCUCACCCCAACCUUCACCCGAUUUUUUAAGCGGAAAAAAAGUGGAGCAAGGGAGCCGAUCUUUGGUAACUCGGUUUUCUGUGGAAGACAAAAUCUUGCUCUGUUGCCCCAGCUAGAGUGUAGUGGCAUCAUCACAGCUCACUGAAACCUCAAAUUCCUGGGUUCAAGAGAUCCCCCUGCCUCAGCCUCCUGAGUAGCUGGGACUACAGUGGCAGCAUUUACCACGAACUGAGGAGGGAAAGAGUGGAAUGCCAUAUGAUGACCUGGAUAUGUGACACCCUCACAUCCAUGAACACCCAGGGGGUUGCACUCCUGGCGAAGGACCUCUUUCUCCUGUGAAGAUUGGGCCUGGCUCCUUGGUUCUAUAAAUACACAUCAUCUUCUUCCUUCCUUUAAAUAGCAUUAUUCAUCUUUCCCUUUGAAGACUGGAAAUUUAUCUUCUUUAUCAAAAAAUAUCCAGUUGAAGGGAAAACUUUAUGAGGAAGACCCCCCUAGCAAUUGCAGCAACACCAAAAAUCAAUAACUGGGAUUUGAUCAAGCUAAAAAUCUUUUGCACAGCUAAGGGUACCAUAAACAAAGCAAACAACCUUUGGAAUGGGAGAAGAUUUUUGCAUGUUAUGAAUCUGACAAAGGCCUGAUAACUAGAAUCUACAGAGAACUCAAAUUAAACAAUAAGAAAAGUGCAAACAACCUUCUCUAAAAGUGGGCAAGAGAUUUAAACAGAAACUUCUCUGAGGAUAACAGAUGAAAAGCCAACAAACACAUGAAAAAAUGCUCGUCUUUAAUCAUCAGAGAAAUCAAACCACUCUAAGAUAUCACCUAAUUCCAGCAAGAUUAGCCCACAUCACAAAGUCCCAAAACACCAGAUGCUGGCAUGGAUGUGGAGAGAAGUAAACACUUCUACACUGCUGGUGGGAUUGCAAACUAAUACAGCCUUUUUGGAAAGAAGUAUAGAGAAUCCUUAAAGAUCUAAAGGUAGACAUUCCAUUUAAUCCUGAAAUCCCCUUACUAGGUAUCUAUCUAGAACAGCGGUUCUCAACCUGUGGGUGCAACCCCUUUGGGGGUCAAAAGAUCCUUUCACAGGGGUCACCUAAGACCAUCCUGCAUAUCAGAUAUUUACAUUAUGAUUUAUAACAGUCACAAAAUUACAGUUAAGAAGUAGCAAUGAAAAUAAUUUUAUGGUUGGGGGUCACUACAACGUGAGGAACUGUAUUAAAGGGUUAUGGCAUUAGGGAGGUUGAGAACCACUGAUCUAGAAGAACAAAAAUCAUUUUACCACAAAGACAUUUGCACCAGAUAUUUACUGUGGCUCAAUUAAUAAUUGCCAAGUUGUGGAAGCAACCUAAGUGCCCAUCAACCCAUGAAUGGAUCAACAUGCUGUGAUUUGCAUACCAUGGAAUACUAUUCAGCCAUUAAAAAGAUGGAGACUUUACAUCUUUUACAUUUAUCUGGAUGGAGUUCAAAUACUAAAUUCUGGCUUGGCAACUGUAGCUCAAGCAGCUAGGGUGCCAGCCACAUACACCAGAGCUGGAGGGUUCGAGUCCAGCCUGGGCCCGCCAAACAACAAUAAUGACAACUACAACCAAAAAAAAAUAGCUGGGUGUUGUGGCAGGCAUCUGUAGUCCCAGCUACUUGGGAGGCUGAGGCAAGAGAAUCCCUUAAGCCCAAGAGUUGGAGUUUGCUGUGAGCUGUGAUGCCAUCGCACUCUAUCCAGGGUGACAGCUUGAGACUCUGUCUCAAAAAAAAAAAAAAGAAAUACUAAAUUAUUCUUAGUAAAGUAUCACAAGAAUGGAAAAAUAUCUAAUGUACUCCAUAUUAAUAUGAAAUCAAUAUAUAAACAAUUACAUGCUCAUAAGAACAAUAAAACACUAAUAUAAUCUAGAUUGGGGGUAGAGGGAAGUGGGAGGGGGUGGGGGGAAGACCUUUGGCACAGGAGAGAGGGCAUGAGGUGGGAUCUCGCCUAAUGUAAGGGUGUAACAUGCCCCCUGGGUGAGGGGCUCUUCUACAAAUGGAAAUUUACCCUGGAAGUUAGAACAAUGUAACCUUAUAUUAAUGUGAAAAUAAAUAAAUAAAAAUAUCCAGUUGAGACAGUGGGAAAGCAUCUCUAGAUUCAUCAGUCAGAUCCUGGGAAGACUGAUAACAAUAGAAUGUUACUUCUCUGGGCAUGAGGGUUGAGGAAGAGACAUUAGAGAAUAUAGUAGGUACUUAAUAAACCCCGAGAUACAGCCAAGGCAUCUGGGAUAUGACCUCAACAUGCCCUUAAUUGGAAUUGAGUACCGCUAAGAGAAAGUACUAGGAACUUGGGUGCCUAUGGCUAUGGAGACCCUUUUUAGGGAAGCUACUCCAGCCUGGACACACCAACUGGUGCCUAACCUUCCCUGACCAUGAGAGAGAAUAGAAUGUGUCACUCCCGUGUUUCUCCCCGACCUUGCUGGGCACUUUUCAGCCCCAUCCUCUUCUUCACCUUGGGACAGAGGAAUCAGGAAUAAAGCGAUACAUUUAUUAGGCUGAAGAAUGAUAAAGGAAGGAGGGAAAUAGACAUCUAGCUAAACCAACCUCAUUUAAGGAGAGAUGACUUACACAGCUAAUUCCAUGGUAAUGUGGCACCUGGGUACCAGGGUGGGCCUUUUCUUUUCUCUCCUCCUUUCCCUUGACCUUUCUGACCAGUCAUACACAAUUAUUUUUCCAAGUGCACCUCAGAAAACAGUAUUUUAAUUGCCAUUAAUCCUCUUUUUUUCUGCUGUCACUUACUUUGGGGCUCCCUAGGGCAUUUAGGACCAUACAUUUCUACAGCGCACUUUGCUGACAGGCCGAAGAGGUGGCUGAUUAUUAGAAAUGCCUUCUUGGGGUCUAGAAAAAUUUUCUAUCACUCUUCCUCCCAAGUAUUUCCUCUACCAGAGGCUAAGUUUUGGAAUCCCUCAGAUUUUUAAAAUUAUAGCUUUAUUGAGAUAUAAUUCAUAUAGUAUAAUUUCAAAGUGUACGUCCAGUGGACUUUAGUAUAUUCACAGACUUGUGAGACCAUGACUAUAGUCACAUUGAGGACACUUUCAUCACCCCAAGAAGAAACCUCAUAGCCCUUUGUGCCCAAUUCCCAUUUCUCUCCAACCUUCUCAG